GCCGGGGGCACACCAGAAGCUCUCGCAUCUCUUGGUCGCAGGUUCGAAUCCUGCCGGGGGCA
rnacentral:tRNA from 1 species